UACGUAGGGUGCGAGCGUUAAUCGGAAUUACUGGGCGUAAAGCGUGCGCAGGCGGUUCGUUGUGUCGGUGGUGAAAUCCCCGGGCUUAACCUGGGAAUGGCCAUGGAAACUGGCGAACUGGAGUGCGGCAGAGGGGGGUGGAAUUCCGCGUGUAGCAGUGAAAUGCGCAGAUAUCAGGAGGAACACCGAUGGCGAAGGCAGGUCUCUGGGCCACUACUGACGCUGAGAAGCGAAAGCAUGGGGAGCGAACAGG
rnacentral:rRNA from 1 species